CCCCUUCGUCGGAAAAUUAUACUAUUUAUACAAGCUUAAAAUUAUUUUUCAUGUAUAUAUAGCUGAACCCCUUCGACUAGUUCUUUUGUUCACAUUUUUUGAUUUCGAACCCCCUUAGUUAAGGUGUUGGCUCCGCCACUGCUCACAAUAUGUUAGUACAUGAAAAGAGUUCAAUUACCUUAAAACAUCACAAUAAGCUAUAUGAAAAGAGUUCAAUUACCUUAAAACUUCACAAUAAGCUACAUGAAAAGAAUUCAACAACAACAACAAUAGCAACAUAUCCAGUGGCUUCCCACCUAGUGGGGUCUGGGAGGGUAAAAUGUACGCAGUCUAUACCACUACCUCCGAAGAAGUAGAGAGGUUGUUUCCGAUAGACCCUCGGCUCAAGACACAGUAACAGUAAAUAAGGUCGUUUUAAAACGCGAGACAAGAUGAAAUAACACAAAUAAG
rnacentral:lncRNA from 1 species